UCCCCCUACAAACUUUAACAUGGCUUCCAUGGGCUCCGUUCCUCACACCACCACUUACACCUGUGCCUGGGUGACCCUGUCAACAUUUGGAGUGCAAGAAAAUCCCAACUGAACCGUCUCUUUCAUACUCUGAGGAGCUGAGAAUUGACUACCUCUGUGCAUUUUGCAAUGUUCCACUGGCCACUGCUUCAAAAAAGAGACACAGAAUGUCAGUUAUGGAGAACCAAGUGCUGGCAAUGAAACAACACAGUGCUAGGGUUGCUUACAUUUUUUGAAUUGAAAUCCAAUUCAUAAAUUUGAAGAGAUUUUUGUUGUAACAAUGGAGAGAGAGAAAUAGAAACAGCAGGCACUGUGAUACCACUCCAGAGAAAAGGAAAGGAACACCACCUCGUUAGUGUAAGGUAUGUGUAAUUCUGGGUUUUCCAUUUGACCUCUGUUAACAUUAGGGGUGCAGAAAGUAGAAGGGCCUCCUCUAUGGUGGGUGAGUUUGGGAGUGCAUGUCUCCACUGGACUUUCUCUGACACUGCCCCAGCCAGAAGAGGGAGAGGUGUCUCUUUACCACUGGGUUGGGUGCAGGUCCGACCUUUCCAUGUAGUCUUCUAAGGGAAGGGGUUAUGCAGGGAUGAAACUUGUAGCCUUUCACUCAGCCUU